UUGUUACAUCCUGGAAGUGGAAAAACUCAGGAAAAUGAAAAUUAAAUAAAGGAGUAGUGCAAAUGUUUCGUUUAACCCAAUAAGGACAAGCAACAUUUAUUUCUUUGUGCUUGAUGAAGAAGCAUCCCUAUGAAAACGAUGGCAGAGCCUCAGGAUUUUGACAGUAAAAGGGUUAGGUCAAACCAUUUCCCCUUGUAAUAAGAAAAAUAAGUGAACAAGCUUGGUUUCAAAAUAAAAAAAUUGCAGAAAACGCAUUCUAUGUUGGGUUUCUUCCCAACCCCCCGUCCUUUUCAGUAGCUGUUUGUAGUGUAAUGUGGUAGUCUCUAAGUAGUUUAUUUUAAUCAGUGCUAAGAAACUUUAUUCUCAUUUUGACAAAGGCUGUUCUAUCCCUGAUAAUUGCCUUUACUAAAAGCCCAGCCCUUAUGGAGAUUAGGACAAAGAAGAUAGGUAUGUGGAAUCCAAAACCCGAUAAGAAUCAGCAAGUAAAUGAAAACUCUUUCUCAGUUCCAGAUCAUUAUAGAACCUGUGGAGAAGCUGGGGGAGAAGGCUGACGUUUAUUUCCAGUUGUGUUAACACUAUAGCUGUCCUGCAAAGAGUUGUAUGGGAGAGGACAAUAAGCAGAAAAGCAGUCAAAAGAGAUACCGCAUUCCAAAGAUGAUGGAAAAAGUGUAUGAAAGAACACACUGUCUUGCAAACAGAGUACCUUUUUUCUGUUUUAUCCUUAAAAAAAAAGAAAGAAAGGGAUACAAAAAUCCAUGAAGACUGUGGGGAUAUCUUCUGAAGAACUUCUGUCAAACCCUGCUCCAGCUAAGGCCUCAAGUUUCCAGAGGUGAAGGGACAUAUAAAACACAUGUGGAACAGGUGGCAGUGGGACAACGAGAGCAGACCUCGGACAUUUCGUUCUGUUGCUGUUGGGUAUAUGUGGGUUCUAAAGGGUAUGUUGUGUCCGGUUGGACAAUGUAAACUAUUAAAGCCAAAGAAGAGGGGAAGUGUCUCCCUAACACUUCAAUCCUUGCAUAGUUUUAAAUCACUACACUUCAAAGAAGAAAUGUUGAAGCCAGAGCACUGCUAUAUCUACCUGGUCCUUGGCUUUUUCGAGUUUCAGUAGCUGAAUGUUCCCCAAAAUUGGAAGCAAGAAGAAUGUGAACCUUCCUUCCCCUGAGUUCUACUUUGUCUGACCAUGCUCCAGUUUCUCAUCAGCACAAACUCAAAUCCAUAGCAAUUAUGUAACAGAUUGUCUGCUUUUAGUAAUGUCAGAAAAUGGUAAAACUGAAGAGUCAAUGCUUCAAAAAUAACAGAAAUUAACUGUUAUCUGCACAUCCUCUGAGGCUGAGCACCAGGAACUCUGCUCCAGGUUUCCUCUUGAGUUGGUAUAUAUUUCUCUUGAUUAUGAUAUCUGAAUGCCCCAGUAUAGAUUUACCCAAACCAGAUUUGUGGUUGCACCAGCAAAAACUAUUCUCUAUGAGUUGAGCUGACUUGCGAGAAUUUGUUUCUGGGCUUUAUCUUUAAAAUUUCUCUUGUGCUCAGAUUUUGCCCAUUACUCAUAAUUAUGUGCUUCUGACAGCCUAAAAUAAUCUCCUCUCUCCUUGAUUCUAUCCCUUCAACUACUUAAUAAUUUUUUGCACAGCUGUGAUUGAAUUAAGUUAUAUAUAUUGUUAUUUUAACUCUACUAAUAUUUCUGCUUAUUUUUCUUUGCCAUCAUCCUUUGGACGGGAUAGUGAAUUUUCUCAGAAAAGAGAUAAAACCAGAAGAUUAAAAGUGCCUUAAAUACUUCAAUAUUGUAUUUUAAAUGAAGUUUCUCACUCAGACAUUUGGUUUCUUGACUCUUUCAAUUGAGCCUGUGUCUGGGAAGGCUUGCAUUUCUCUACAUCUUCAACUGGUCUAAAAUAUAAGUUCUUUGACUUGGAGUACAACAGGGUCUAGUUCUGGAUGUUCCUUGCUCAACAAUUGAAUCAGACAUGCCCAUGAACUCAGCCAGUCUUUUUUGCCAGAGGGAUUAAAAUGCAAUAUGAAGUUUGCAGAGGGCUGUGCUGUGGACUGCCUUCUGCGUGCAAGGCCCAUUACUAUUCUAGGAUUUGUCAGCAUGGUCUAGCCUUUAGCCCAUCCAAACCAAUAUAGACAAUCAUUUUGUCUGUCUGUGGUUCAUCAGCUGCAUCAUAAACUUAUAUUAGUUUAUAAUCUGGAUUUGUGAACACUACACAAGUUCUGAAGAGUUGGAAAAAAAUUCUUUAUUUCAAAUACAUCUACAUGUUUUUAAAGGAAGAUGUGAAAUAAAACUGAAUAAAAUAUAAUGAAUAACAAUACUUAUUAUUAAUUCAAUUUCUUCAAAUGGAGAUUGGAGGUUAGAGAGCAUCUGAAGAUUGUUUGUAUAUGUUUGAAAGUAUACGAGUCUGACAAUUUGAGCAGUUACUAGUUAGUCUGACUUUUCUUUCCUCAUUUCAUCUGCUGGCUCUACAGAAACUUCACAAGCUAGUAGUCCUUCAGUUAAAGACCCAUUGAAGUUUACUGUCAAGCAGCUAAAACCAUCAGAGCAGAUACCCAGAAAUAAUUUUUAUCUCCAUUAUAAUCCUGAUAAAUUAUCUUUUCUGACCCCAGACCCAAGGCUCUAAAUGUAUGAGAAUGGACAGGAGGCAUGAGGAACUAGCCAUUGCAGCUCUGCUGGAGAAGAUUAUUUGAAUUGCAUUUGGAAGCGUCUAUCUAACAUACAAAUGUCACAAACCAUCGUCUUAGGCCAAGUAACCACAAUAGUAAUACAUAAUCUCUGAGGAAAGUAUUACAGCUUGUUCCCAUAAUUUCAGCUUCCAUUUGAUUAAAGAAGAUAUUUGUUUUUUAUUUUUUCUGUGUAUUAGUGCUAACAGUGCAUAGAAAUGAUACUUAAAACUCACUGUGUUCUUAGUGUAAAAAACAUACGAAAAUAAGUAAAGGACUAUAUAGACUCUCCUAUAUUUAUCAACUAACUUACUAUGUUUUUCAUCAUCCAAGAAGAAGAGAAAAAAGAAAGGAUUUAAGUAACACUUAAGAGACUUUUUUCCCCAAAGGAAGUGGUGUGUUAAAACUUAAUGUUUGGAGUGAAUAUCCCCUGAUAAAGAUAUUCUCCAGAAAUUAUUUUCAAAUGCUGAUUUCCCUAAGAAAUUUGGUUCCUGCUAAAUUUUUACAGUGUCAAUGUCUAAGACACUAAUUUCAUGUUCAUAAUAGCAUAAUAUCCCAUAAAUUUAUUGUCUUUAAAUUCAGAUAUCUUUCACCCCACUGUAAUGGAUGAGUAAUUUCUGACUCUGCAUUACUCACGUUAAUAUGAACUUCAGUUUGCUAGUGAGUAAACCACAACAGAUCUGCAACAGCAGGGAAAAGAGUGCACUUAAACUUUAUAUAAUUUGCCUCUCUCAGGUGGUAAAAGUGUAUAAUUUUGACAUAGAGCUUUAUUGAAGUUACUAGAGAGAUAUGUAUAUUGAGUUACUGGGAUAGGCAUCAAAGUGUUGCAGGGCCUCAGCAUAAGAGAAAUAACAUACUGCAAGAGAAACAGGUUUUUUUUCUUCUAUCAUUUGCCUUGGUCUAAGAAAUGAACUACAAUCUAGAUCCAGGACCAGAAGUGUUUACAUUACUAAGAACUAAGAAGCUUCUGUUAGCUUUAUUACUACCAAUUAAAAAGCUAAAUAUCCUUUCAAGCAACAACAAGAGUUCAUUCAAAGACUUAUACAUUAAUUUCAGAGGUAAUUUUGUAUAAAUGAUUUUGUAUAAAUGAUUUAGCAACUUCACUUGUGUUCUUGCAUUUCUACUAAAUUUCAAUGUGUUUGAACAAUCAAUGUUUAACUAACCAGCAAUCAAGAUGUUCUUUAAAAUGUAAAUUGAAUAAUUAUUUAAGCUUUUUUUCUGAAGUUGGAAAAUGGGUGUUAAGAUUUUUAAAAGUAUUUGCAUUUCCCAACUACUUUUUGAGGCCUUGGAUGUACACUUUAUGGUAGUACCAUUUCAGCUACCAGUGUUAGCAACUGAAAUACAGACCUACUGAUAUUAAUUUAACCUUUUCAUUUUUUAGAAGAUUAGUCUCCUGUUUUCAGAGCGUCUGUCCUAAGAUUUCAAGCUGUCACUUCCAAAAGUAUCUUUAGCAUCCACACAGUAUUUUUUCAAACUUUCUAUAAUAUAGAUAUGCUUCCAAAACAAAAGUAAAAAUAUUUCAAGCAAAAUCACAUACAUGAAUUUAAGCAGGAAUAUGUUGUUUCCAGUAGGAAACUGCAAAGGUUUUCUGCUUCUAUGUUGAUCUUUAAUUUUAAGAUGUUUCACCAUAAAUAAAAACUGCUGCACUUGACAUCAUUCAAUGGUCAUCGAAUUAGGCUGACAAUUUGUUCGCUUGAACUUAGACCUGUACUAUCUCCAAAAUCUCUCUGUUACCCACAUUGUAGUAUUUAAUUUCAUUCAGAUUGGGAUCUAAAACCGUAGUAUUUUUAAGAUCGACUCCUAACACAUAUUUUAUUAAUAUCUAGAGCUACAAUGACAUAAAAAUUGCUUUGAAUAAAUACUAUAAAUGUAAGGGUAUGCUCAUUUAGCAAUUUCUAAGUCAUUAAGUUUCGGGUUUUGCCACAAGAUUCAAAGUUGGAUCAUCAGAUAGCAUUUUCUAUUACUUUACUAUUAUGAGGUCAUAAACUCAGAUGUAGUCUUGUGGUUUAAAAUCAUGAGUUGUUAUUUGAACAUGUUAUUUGAACAUGUAGAAUAUUUGAGACAACUUGGCAAUGUCACUUUAUUAACUAAUUCCAACUAUGCUUGUUUGUAUCUCUUACCUGACACAAAAAAAUAUGAUAUUCUGUUUUUAGCUAGGAAUUAAACUUCGAAAGCAGUGAAUCUCUUUUUUCUCUGAGCAGUUACCAAAACACUGAAAAGAAUAUUAUUAAUGUAUUUGUACUUACAGAAAAGCACAUAAGACCUUAUAGAGACAACAAUUCACAAAGUACAGACAGGGAUAUAUCUGAAAUUUAAAGAGACAAAGUGAGUUAGGAGAUCAAACGAUGAGGUUAAAGAGGAGCACUCAAAAGUUAACAAAAGUAGAGAAGUGAUUAUGACUGAGAUUGAAGCUAAUAGAGAGAGCAAGACCAAGGAGUCCCAGAGUAGCAGUUGCUGACAAAAAGUCACUACAAUGACAGAAAGAAAAUAAUUCUGUAUCUGUAAAGUGAAACAACUGUGCAGGAUUUUGUUUGCUUGUCUUUCUUCUACCACUAAACCAUACAUUUCUAGUAGAAAGGGUAAGCUUUGAUACCACAGACUGGAAUAGUUCUCAAAAUCCCACUAAUUUUGUCUCUGUGCAGUUAGAAUUAUUACAUAUAAUUCAACUUUCUAAAAAGUAAAAUUGUUAGAUAAAAUAAGUUAGUUGGGAAAUUUGUUUUCUCUAGAUAUACUUUUAUUGAGUAUAAGAAUUCAUAGCUCAAUUAGGUACUUAAAGAGUCACCAAAAAAGCUACUCCUAUUCAAAUAAAAAAAAAAAAAAAAAAUUACAAAGUGCUUCCUAUGUUAGAAAGUGCUUCCUAUGUUGGAAGCUAUUAAUAAAUUGAUAUAAUAGGAAGGAUAAGAUUUGGCAGCAUGCACUAUAGGGUUUUUUGUUUGGGAAAAUAAAGUCUAAUACAACUGCCAUAUGUAGGAUUUACAUUAUUUGAUGACUAGAAUGAUUCAAACAAAUAUCUUAGUUUCCUAGAUGCCCCUUAAAUCAGAGAUUUUUCAAAACUGACAAAAAAUAAAUUAUUGAGGUUCUGUGGGAUUUACACAGAAUUUCCUUAAUCUUCUGUGAUUCUACAUUUCUCUACUGACCCUCAUUCCUGCAUAAAUUUAACAGCCAGUAUAAGUUUCUGGUAGCUAUAAACUGCAACAUGGUCACCAUUUGCCUUCUUCCAUCUAUUACCCAGUGGAAAUUAUUUACGUGUUACCUUCAGUUCAAGUAAACUUUUUAGUUUUUCUCAAGGCCUAACACUAUUAUUUUUCAUGAUGACUAACAAAAAAAUUACUCUCCCAUGCAUCAAUCAGCUUUGCCCUUUGAGUGACUGUGGGAGACCAGGAGAAGUGUGCUACGGAGGAUUGUGUCUAUGAGCAGUGGAAGGCAAACAUAGAAAUCUGCGAGGAAGUUCUUGGAACACCAGAAGAAUGCACCUUUUCUACUUUUGUUUAAGGAGUUGGAUUGUUAAAGUACUUUAUACUCAUCAGUAAUGUUAAUGUUGAAUGUUUGGAAUGUUAUUGCCUUAUAAUAUCCCUUUGAUUGUCAAUUUACCACAUGUCCCUCAGUCUUUGGUACCUCAAUUUGCGCCCUUGUUCAUGAUUGGUUCAAAAAUGCUGCAUUGCAGUAUCUAAUUCAUUAGUAAUCCCUUGUUUGAAUAUCUCUGCCCUUAUUCUCCCUCCAUUGGUUUGUAUUUGCAUGUUCCUCCCAAACUCCUCCCCUUUUUCCAGUUCCUUCCCUCCUGACCCUAUUUAAGUCUGAUUCUCACCUCAAUAAAGGACCAUUUUUGCCUGUA